GCCUGGGUGGCUCAGUCUGUUGAGUGUCUGACUUUGGCUCAGGUUGUGCUCCCAGGGUUCAUGAGUUUGAGCCCCAUAUCAGGCU
rnacentral:tRNA from 1 species